rfam:Oryza barthii chromosome 1, whole genome shotgun sequence.
AAUAAGUGCAGUUCUGCAUUGUUCGUAUUCAACGUUUGGCCGUUCAUCUUAAUUGAUUUUUUUAUUGAUUAGCAUUUUUGUUGUUAUUACAUGAUAAAACAUGAACAAUACUUUAUGUGUGACUUUUUUUUUUAUUUUCUCAUAAAUUUUUUAAAUAAGACAGAUGGUCAAACGUUGGACACGUAUAUCCACGGCUGCACUUAUU